rnacentral:rRNA from 1 species
GACGAACGCUGGCGGCGUGCUUAACACAUGCAAGUCGAACGGAAAGGCCCUGCUUGCAGAGUACUCGAGUGGCGAACGGGUGAGUAACACGUGGGUGAUCUGCCCUGCACUUCGGGAUAAGCUUGGGAAACUGGGUCUAAUACCGGAUAGGACCGCACUUUAGUGUGUGUGGUGGAAAGUUUUUUCGGUGUAGGAUGAGCUCGCGGCCUAUCAGCUUGUUGGUGGGGUAAUGGCCUACCAAGGCGGCGACGGGUAGCCGGCCUGAGAGGGUGUACGGCCACAUUGGGACUGAGAUACGGCCCAGACUCCUACGGGAGGCAGCAGUGGGGAAUAUUGCACAAUGGGCGCAGGCCUGAUGCAGCGACGCCGCGUGGGGGAUGAAGGCCUUCGGGUUGUAAACUCCUUUCGCUAGGGACGAAGCUUUUUGUGACGGUACCUAGAUAAGAAGCACCGGCUAACUACGUG